UACAGAGGGGGCAAGCGUUGUUCGGAAUUACUGGGCGUAAAGCGUGCGCAGGCGGUUCGCCAAGUCAGGUGUGAAAUCCCCGGGCUUAACCUGGGAAUUGCGCUUGAAACUAGCGGGCUUGAGUGCGGCAGAGGGGGGUGGAAUUCCACGUGUAGCAGUGAAAUGCGUAGAGAUGUGGAGGAACACCGAUGGCGAAGGCAGCCCCCUGGGUCGACACUGACGCUCAUGCACGAAAGCCAGGGGAGCGAACGGG
rnacentral:rRNA from 1 species